CAGUAGCCGCGGGAAUACGGAGGGUGCAAGCGUUAAUCGGAAUUACUGGGCGUAAAGCGCACGCAGGCGGUCUGUCAAGUCAGAUGUGAAAUCCCCGGGCUUAACCUGGGAACUGCAUUUGAAACUGGCAGGCUAGAGUCUUGUAGAGGGGGGUAGAAUUCCAGGUGUAGCGGUGAAAUGCGUAGAGAUCUGGAGGAACAUCAGUGGCGAAGGCGGCCAUCUGGGACAACACUGACGCUGAAGCACGAAAGCGUGGGGAGCAAACAGGAUUAGAGACCCCGGUAGUCCCUGUCUCUUAUAC
rnacentral:rRNA from 1 species